UCUCCCCCACCCUAUCUUCCCCCUUCCGUGUUGCCAUGGCCCGUCGCUCCUUCGACCCCGGAUCCCAGUGAUGCCAUCUCCUGUGCGCCGCCUCAAUCCACCGCCCUCCCCCGCAGGCUCUUCCGCGCUGGCUUCCACGAGCUGGGUUGUUGCCUCCUCCCCUCCCGUGCACUAUCUCAACUUUUCUCCACAAAAAUGAUGAAAGGCAGCGGCUCAAUGCCUCCUUGGAACUCCACCCUGUUUAACUUCUUCCUCCUGAUUCCUUCCACUCUAAAUUAAUUUAGGGUCUGGGUGUGUAGUUUUUAUGGUGGGUGUGACGGAUCUUGGGGAGGUGAGGAGGACAUAGGUGGGAGAAGGACUGCGAGUCUGGAGAAUCUAGGCUGCACAUAUAAAUCCUCUCCAUCUUCCUCUCCCCUUUGACCCCUCCCCCCCAGUUCUCCAGUAAUCUGAUUUUGAUUUCUUCUGUUUUCGUAAGAACAAUGUGUGCAGAUCUGUAAAAGAAGAGAAGAGGAAGAAUCCCAAGGAAGAGUUUGGUGAAGAAGAAUAAGGUGACUAUGUGAGUUGCAUUGACAGAAUCCAUGUAUUAAGUUGGGGCAUUUUUGGCAGCUGCAGCAACCUGACAAUUCAUUUGUUCUCAUACAAGAUGCUUGUGAAGUACAUGGGGAAGGCGCGCAUGGUUGAUGAUUAUGUUCUGGAUUGGAGGCCGAAGCAAACUCCGUCAGGUUUCAGAUAAUUACUUCAGGUUAGGCGGGAGAAAUAAAAAGGGUAACCAUAGAUAUAUGGUGUAGCAUCAUGAGGUUCAGGUUCCUGCUGUUGAUCAACCGUUGCUUCGGUCGAGUGCGAACCCGGAUCAGUUGCUGCUCCAAACCAGACAAUUUGGAGGAUGAACGCUAGUCUCCCAGCGAUGCCAUGGAAGAAGAAAGUAUUCGCUCCAGACGUAGAUGUCUAGCUUGCCUGUGUGCUGUAACAUUAAUCAGUGCAUCGGGCCCAAAGUUUUCUAUCAUUGGAACCUUGAUGAUUUAUCUCAUUUGAACAUAAUCUAACCCCUCUGAUUUUUUUCAGUACAUAAUUGUACACCUUCUAUGCCCCGCUUAAUUGUGUGUUCAUUUUGUUAAUCAAGAAGCAUCUGAUUUUAUGGCUGGCGUGGUGCUCCAGCGCGACCGCUUCGUGUGCUGCCUCGAGUCGCAUGGCCACCAUGCCCGCGCCGAGGCGAAGGCCGCUGCCACUCUCAACGCCCUCUGCUGCGCGCUCUCGCCGGCGGCAUUUGCAAAGCCUUGUCGUGGCGCUGCAAGUGUUGCCCCCCUCCUCCCCAAGGGCAAGGUGAAGGAAGGUGCAUGUGUGGUUCUUCAGCAGCUCGCAGCGAGGAUUGCUGUGUCCAACCUGCAGAAGUAUGCCAAGAAGUUCUCGGAGAUGAUUAAGGACAUGUCCCCGCACUACAACGAGAGAUCUGAGCUGUUUGGAAGUUAGUUUAGGUUUUUGUUGUGGAUUCACAGCUUCUCACAUGUAUGAUCCUCUUAGACCUUUAGAUUUCCAAAGAAACUAAAUGAAGAUAUGGUGGUAUGGUCUCAAUAGUACAACUUAAAGCCUUCCAUGUUUUAUAUUUUCUUUGAAAUUUGCUCUUGAAGAAUUAUGUAUCUAUGUUAGAUCCGGUGAGAAAAGGCGGCUUUCAAGUAGAGGUUGCUGCAGUGUUGGCCA